CCUACGGGUUGCAGCAGUAGGGAAUCUUCCGCAAUGGGCGAAAGCCUGACGGAGCAACGCCGCGUGAGUGAUGAAGGUCUUCGGAUCGUAAAACUCUGUUAUUAGGGAAGAACAAAUGUGUAAGUAACUAUGCACGUCUUGACGGUACCUAAUCAGAAAGCCACGGCUAACUACGUGCCAGCAGCCGCGGUAAUACGUAGGUGGCAAGCGAUAUCCGGAAUUAUUGGGCGUAAAGCGCGCGUAGGCGGUUUUUUAAGUCUGAUGUGAAAGCCCACGGCUCAACCGUGGAGGGUCAUUGGAAACUGGAAAACUUGGGUGCAGAAGAGGAAAGUGGAAUUCCAUGUGUAGCGGUGAAAUGCGCAGAGAUAUGGAGGAACACCAGUGGCGAAGGCGACUUUCUGGUCUGUAACUGACGCUGAUGUGCGAAAGCGUGGGGAUCAAACAGGAUUAGAUACCCGUGUAGUC
rnacentral:rRNA from 1 species